AAGAGGAAGGAGGAUAAUGCACAUAAAAACCAGCUACACAUUACUAAGUUGAACUGUGUGUUCACGGAACUUUCCUCCACACAUCAGGAAAACUCUGAACCAGGUUGCAAAACACCAAAUACGAUGGCAGAUGAGAGCUUUAAAAAGGAGUUUCUUGAUACCCACAAUGCCUAUAGGGCACAGCAUGGUGCACCACCACUGACCUUUAAUACUGAGCUGAAUGACGCAGCUCAAAAUUGGGCCAAUCAAAUGCUGGCAAAAAAGAAACUUGGCCACAGUGACACCAACGAUGGAGAGAACGUCUACUAUGCAUGGAGCUCUGAAACCAAGAUGCUUACAGGAAAAGAAGCUGUGGAUUCAUGGUACAGUGAGAUCAAGGAUUAUGACUUCAAAAAGUCUGGACAUCAACCCAAGACUGGUCAUUUUACUCAGGUGGUGUGGAAAAGCAGCACUGAACUGGGUGUGGGCAUAGCCACUGAUGGCAAUACGGUCUUUGUGGUUGGGCAGUACCGCCCAGCUGGCAACAUUACCAAUGCAGGAUACUAUCAGAAAAAUGUCCUCCCAAAAGGAACAGAACUUUCCUCCACACAUGAGGAAGACUCUGAACCAGGUUGCAAAGCAGCAAACAAGGUGACAGAUGAGAGCUUUAAAAAGGAGUUUCUUGAUACCCACAAUGCCUAUAGGGCACAGCAUGGUGCACCACCACUGACCUUUAAUACUGAGCUGAAUGACGCAGCUCAAAAUUGGGCCAAUCAAAUGCUGGCAAAAAAGAAACUUGGCCACAGUGACACCAACGAUGGAGAGAACGUCUACUAUGCAUGGAGCUCUGAAACCAAGACGCUUACAGGAAAAGAAGCUGUGGAUUCAUGGUACAGUGAGAUCAAGGAUUAUGACUUCAAAAAGUCUGGACAUCAACCCAAGACUGGUCAUUUUACUCAGGUGGUGUGGAAAAGCAGCACUGAACUGGGUGUGGGCAUAGCCACUGAUGGCAAUACGGUCUUUGUGGUUGGGCAGUACCGCCCAGCUGGCAACAUUACCAAUGCAGGAUACUAUCAGAAAAAUGUCCUCCCAAAAGGAACAGAACUUUCCUCCACACAUGAGGAAGACUCUGAACCAGGUUGCAAAGCAGCAAACAAGGUGACAGAUGAGAGCUUUAAAAAGGAGUUUCUUGAUACCCACAAUGCCUAUAGGGCACAGCAUGGUGCACCACCACUGACCUUUAAUACUGAGCUGAAUGACGCAGCUCAAAAUUGGGCCAAUCAAAUGCUGGCAAAAAAGAAACUUGGCCACAGUGACACCAACGAUGGAGAGAACGUCUACUAUGCAUGGAGCUCUGAAACCAAGACGCUUACAGGAAAAGAAGCUGUGGAUUCAUGGUACAGUGAGAUCAAGGAUUAUGACUUCAAAAAGUCUGGACAUCAACCCAAGACUGGUCAUUUUACUCAGGUGGUGUGGAAAAGCAGCACUGAACUGGGUGUGGGCAUAGCCACUGAUGGCAAUACGGUCUUUGUGGUUGGGCAGUACCGCCCAGCUGGCAACAUUACCAAUGCAGGAUACUAUCAGAAAAAUGUCCUCCCAAAAGGAACAGAACUUUCCUCCACACAUGAGGAAGACUCUGAACCAGGUUGCAAAGCAGCAAACAAGGUGACAGAUGAGAGCUUUAAAAAGGAGUUUCUUGAUACCCACAAUGCCUAUAGGGCACAGCAUGGUGCACCACCACUGACCUUUAAUACUGAGCUGAAUGACGCAGCUCAAAAUUGGGCCAAUCAAAUGCUGGCAAAAAAGAAACUUGGCCACAGUGACACCAACGAUGGAGAGAACGUCUACUAUGCAUGGAGCUCUGAAACCAAGACGCUUACAGGAAAAGAAGCUGUGGAUUCAUGGUACAGUGAGAUCAAGGAUUAUGACUUCAAAAAGUCUGGACAUCAACCCAAGACUGGUCAUUUUACUCAGGUGGUGUGGAAAAGCAGCACUGAACUGGGUGUGGGCAUAGCCACUGAUGGCAAUACGGUCUUUGUGGUUGGGCAGUACCGCCCAGCUGGCAACAUUACCAAUGCAGGAUACUAUCAGAAAAAUGUCCUCCCAAAAGGAACAGAGUAAAACUUUCCCAGUGGCAGAGAGGGAGCUGCAGCAGACAACAGACCUCAGUGCCCAGAGAAAAUGACCUGCACCGUAUUGGACCCAUCACAUGUGGUUUCCUUAAAUGUUCCGAGAUUAAACAGCAAAAAAUACGCCUAUCACAUCAAACACUAUUUUACACAACUGUCUAGUCAAAUAGUGAAUCAUUUUUGAGUAAUGUUUCAAUGAUUUGAGUGCAGUACAAAUAAAAACAAAAGUCAUUGUGCUUGUUGUCCCCA